AACGAACGCUGGCGGCAUGCCUAACACAUGCCAGUCGAACGAGACCUUCGGGUCUAGUGGCGCACGGGUGCGUAACGCGUGGAAACCUGCCCUUAGGUUCGGAAUAACUCCCCGAAAGGGGUGCUAAUACCGGAUAAUGUCUUCGGACCAAAGAUUUAUCGCCUUUGGAUGGGCCCGCGUUGGAUUAGCUAGUUGGUAGGGUAAAAGCCUACCAAGGCGACGAUCCAUAGCUGGUCUGAGAGGAUGAUCAGCCACACUGGGACUGAGACACGGCCCAGACUCCUACGGGAGGCAGCAGUGGGGAAUAUUGGACAAUGGGCGAAAGCCUGAUCCAGCAAUGCCGCGUGAGUGAUGAAGGCCUUAGGGUUGUAAAGCUCUUUUACCCGGGAUGAUAAUGACAGUACCGGGAGAAUAAGCUCCGGCUAACUCCGU
rnacentral:rRNA from 1 species